rnacentral:misc_RNA from 1 species
GAUGAAGAAAGCAGCGAAAUGCGAUAAGUAAUGUGAAUUGCAGAAUUCAGUGAAUCAUCGAAUCUUUGAACGCACAUUGCGCCCCUUGGUAUUCCAUGGGGCAUGCCUGUUCGAGCGUCAUUUGUACCCUCAAGCUCUGCUUGGUGUUGGGUGUUUGUCCCGCGUUGCGUGUGGACUCGCCUUAAAGCGAUUGGCAGCCGGCAUAUUGGCCUUGGAGCGCAGCACAUUUUGCGCUUCUAGUCAUGGUUGUUGGCGUCCAUUAAGCCUAUACAUUUGCUCUUGACCUCGGAUCAGGUAGGGAUACCCGCUGAACUUAAGCAUAUCAAUAAGCGGAGGA